UACGUGAGGGGCGAACGUUUGUUCGGUGUCACUGGGCUUAAAGGGUGCGUAGGUGGUUGCGUAAGUAACGUGUGAAAGCCCUCGGCUUACCCGGGGAAUUGCGCGUUAUACUGCGUGACUUGAGGAUUUCAGGGGAAAGGGGAACUCCAGGUGUAGCGGUGAAAUGCGCAGAUAUCUGGGGGAAGGCCGGCGGCGAAGGCGCCUUUCUGGGAAAUUCCUGACACUGAGGCACGAAAGCGUGGGGAGCAAACAGG
rnacentral:rRNA from 1 species